CAAAAUACAACAAAAUCCUUAACACUCUAAACAGAAUAGUCAAAAUGACUAUCUUUUAAUAAAAUACCUUUCCAAGAAGAUAUCCUUCCAUAUCGGCGUAUUUUUUAAUGGAAUACAUUUUCAUAUAACUGUGUUAUUUUACAAAUAACUUUGUAACACCAAUUAUUUGCCCAGGCCCAGUCUAAAACCCAAAAUAAAUAUAACACCCAUGCCCAAUAAAAUUAACCCUAGCCCAAUACCUUUCAAUAGACCCAACCCAUUAGCCUAAAACACACACACACACACACAAAAACCCUAGUAGCCUCCAGCGUUAGCCGCAGCAACUACUGCCCUCUUCGCGCACCUCCGCAAACGUCGCGCGCACGCCUCCAGCAGUACCUGCAGCAACAAACACAGAACAAAGCGCAAAAAUCGGGCAACAAAAUACGGAUAAAAUAACAGAAAUGAUUGAUCUUUGAUUUUUAGAUUUUCUUCUUUUCUAUUUCGGCUAUAAAAGCCCGAUUUUAAUCUGUAAAAUGGGGAAUUUUCAGUGUAAAAAAGAUACGAAAAUAGAAUCAAAAAAACACAGAGAAAUUUCUAAAAUACAAAGGUGAAUCGGGUUUCUUUUUUUGUAUAUUUUCUAUCAUUAUUAUUGUUUUUUUUUUGUAAACAAAAAUCAAAAAAGGAGAAGGAAAACUCACCUAAUCGCCAGAGCCGACGUGCCGUUGCGGUGACCCCUCUCCGUCGCAAUCGGAGGCCGGGGCGUCGUCGGAGGCCGUGGAUGGCUUGAGCGGCGGCGGCGGCAUGGAGGGCUGGGGGGUUGAAAACCCUAGCAAAAUCCCCCCCCCUCUGUUUGUUGUUUUAAAACAAAAAAGAAUGAAGUAGAG
rnacentral:lncRNA from 1 species